rnacentral:rRNA from 1 species
AGAGUUUGAUCCUGGCUCAGGACAAACGCUGGCGGCGUGCGUAACACAUGCAAGUCGGACGAGGUGGUGUGGCUCUUCGGAGCGACACGAUCGAGUGGCGGACGGGUGAGUAACACGUGGAUAACCUGCCCUGGUGUGGGGGAUACCCUGUAGAAAUACGGGCUAAGACCGCAUAUGGUCGCUUGUGGGGAGCCAGAAGC